GCAGAUUUUAAUUAAGAAAAGAAAAAUCUACCCCCUGUGCCUCUCAUAAUGUCACAUGCCAGAGCAAACUGUAGCUCAGAACCACUGCCUGGCCUCUGCCUGUGGGCUGCUGGCACUGAAGUGGGUUGCACAGUG
rnacentral:snoRNA from 1 species